GGCGGCGUGCCUAAUACAUGCAAGUCGAGCGCAGGAAGCAGACAGAAGCCUUCGGGCAGACGUCUGUGGAAUGAGCGGCGGAUGGGUGAGUAACACGUGGGCAACCUGCCUUAUGGUUCGGGAUAACACCGGGAAACUGGUGCUAAUACCGAAUAAGAUUCUUCUUCGCCUGAAGAAGAAAUGAAAGACGGCUCUUCGAGCUGUCGCCAAAAAGAUGGGCCCGCGUCGCAUUAGCUAGUUGGUGGAUAAAAGUUCACCAAGGCAACGAUGCGUAGCCGACCUGAGAGGGUGAUCGGCCACACUGGGACUGAGACACGGCCCAGACUCCUACGGGAGGCAGCAGUAGGGAAUCUUCCGCAAUGGACGAAAGUCUGACGGAGCGACGCCGCCGUGAGUGAUGAAGGUCUUCGGAUCGUAAAACUCUGUUGUGAGGGAAGAACAAGGGUGAACCGAAUACGUUCACCCCUUGACGGUACCUCACCAGAAAGCCCCGGCUAACUACGUGCCAGCAGCGGC
rnacentral:rRNA from 1 species